rnacentral:lncRNA from 1 species
UGGUCUCUUUGCCAAUUUGGAUUUACUGGAUAGCCCAUCUCUUACUCUUUUGGCGCUGCAUCACUUUUCUUAGGUUCCUAAAAUAACUUUUUACUCAGAGUAAAAAAUUCAGAGUGGACAUUGGUAUUGUUGAUGAAGAUCUUUUUCUUUUGGAUAAGGAGUACUUCCUGUCCAUCUGACUAGUGAAAAAUUCUACCUAGUUGAAGAUUCUUAGUCAUUUUAAAUUUUAUCAUGGAUAUGCUUCUGGUUUUUCUGAAUAAUAUAGAAAACAGAUGAGAUUGAAUUUUUAUAGCAUUGAAAGAUACUCUAAAUUACUAUUCUAUAUUUAAAGUAAUUACAUAAAAUAUCUUAAAUGUAAUCCUAGAUUCAAGUGUGUAUUGUUGCAUUAGUGCACUUGAUUAGUAUAGCACAGGACUCUUCAGUAGAAGUGUUUCAGACAAAAUAAUGGUGAGAAUGGCUUAAGGAUCUGUUCACAUUGAAAGACUGAGUUUGUUUUUGAUUCUGAUUCAAUGAAAAGUUCUCUAGUUCUUUUCUAUACUGUAGAGUCAAGGGCUUAAAAAGAUCUUUGUGAUUUGAUUGUGGUCUAUCUGGAAGUGCAUUAGUGGCAACUUUCCAUUUUAACAGUAUAUUGGGGGAAUCUCUUGAUUGUAAACUUCAAAAUAAUAUUUAUGUAUAUUACACAGGCAAGUUUAUGUUGUAUUAAUUUCUGUUCAACUGUGUAAGCCUUAAUCUUUUUUUCUUUCUGUGAUACUGGGGUUGAAUAUAGGGCUUCACACAUGCUAGACAGGUGCUGUUCCAUUGAGCUGCACUCUGACUCUUUUAAUUUUUUGAGACAGAAUCUCAGUAAGUUGCCAAACUGGCCUUAUACUUGUGUUCCUCCUGCCUCAGUCCCCCAAAUAGCUGGGAUUCUAGGCAUACACCUUCAUGCCCUGUAGAUAAUCUAGUCUUAUAAUCAAGUAUGCUGUGAAAUUCUUGUGUUAUAUUAUUUCUCCUUUGAAGAUGGAGUGUUCCAAUUUCAUAUAUCCUCCAAACUAAUUUAAGAUGUAAAAUAAGAAUGUAAGCUAUCUGGUUACGAUCUGCAAUUCUUAACCUUUAGAACUUCAGGGUUCUGGUACAUGCUGCGCCCUCUCUGUCAUUCCUUUCUUUACUACUGACUGAAAAUGGACGAGACUUAGUGUUUGUAUGCUGGGCGCUUACCUUUUUACUUUAAAAAAGGAUUCUCUACCAAGUUAGAAGGUGUACUGUCUUAGAAGCAGACAUGCCUGGCAAGUAAAACAAAUGCUUAUUUAUAAUUUUUGUUUGUUUGUUUAUAACUAAGAUCAAGUAGAGAACUGGACAAAAAAGUGCCAGUCAUUUGUCCUGGCACUUUUAUUAUUGAAUAUAUUAAAAUUAUUAUUUUUUUGGGGGGGGAAGAAAUACUUUAUUUCUCAUGUUGGCCAUUUUCUUUAGUUUAAUGAUUUUGGAGAUAUAUUUGCUCUACUUUGAAUUUUGCUGUACAGUAGUGUGUCAUUCCCUCUUGGACAUUGUGGUUCUAUAUAACUGAACGCUGAAUGUACCAAGAUUUGUCCAUGUCCGACAAAACUUUGUCAAAUCUUUUCCUAAAAGAAUGAAAUAGGAGAAAUAUAAUGUGUCUUAAAUAAUUAUACUGUCCAUGUUUGGGUAUACAUCUUUACCAUGUUUUACCAGGAUUUUUGUAUUAGCACUUUUCUAGAUAAUUAC